rnacentral:rRNA from 1 species
CAGUCGAGGGGUAUAUUUCUUCGGAGAUAGAGACCGGCGCACGGGUGCGUAACGCGUAUGCAAUCUACCUUUUACAGAGGGAUAGCCCAGAGAAAUUUGGAUUAAUACCUCAUAGUAUAGCUCUACUGCAUGGUAGUACUAUUAAAGUCACAACGGUAAAAGAUGAGCAUGCGUCCCAUUAGCUAGUUGGUAAGGUAACGGCUUACCAAGGCUACGAUGGGUAGGGGUCCUGAGAGGGAGAUCCCCCACACUGGUACUGAGACACGGACCAGACUCCUACGGGAGGCAGCAGUGAGGAAUAUUGGACAAUGGGCGCAAGCCUGAUCCAGCCAUGCCGCGUGCAGGAUGACGGUCCUAUGGAUUGUAAACUGCUUUUAUACGAGAAGAAACACUGCUUCGUGAAGCAGCUUGACGGUAUCGUAAGAAUAAGGAUCGGCUAACUCCGUGCCAGCAGCCGCGGUAAUACGGAGGAUCCAAGCGUUAUCCGGAAUCAUUGGGUUUAAAGGGUCCGUAGGCGGUUUAAUAAGUCAGUGGUGAAAGCCCAUCGCUCAACGGUGGAACGGCCAUUGAUACUGUUAAACUUGAAUUAUUAGGAAGUAACUAGAAUAUGUAGUGUAGCGGUGAAAUGCUUAGAGAUUACAUGGAAUACCAAUUGCGAAGGCAGGUUACUACUAAUGGAUUGACGCUGAUGGACGAAAGCGUGGGUAGCGAACAGGAUUAGAUACCCUGGUAGUCCACGCCGUAAACGAUGGAUACUAGCUGUUGGAAGCAAUUUCAGUGGCUAAGCGAAAGUGAUAAGUAUCCCACCUGGGGAGUACGUUCGCAAGAAUGAAACUCAAAGGAAUUGAC